rnacentral:lncRNA from 1 species
CAUCAUGCUUGGAGAUGGAGCCCAUUAUUUGAAGCAAACUAACACAGGAAUAGCAAAGCAAAUACCAUAUAUUCUCACUUAUAAAUGGGAGCUGAACAAGGAGAACAUAUGGACACAAACAGCAGAACAACAGACACCAGGACCUACUUGAGGGGACCGGUGUGAGAGUAUGGAGGCUGAAGCCAUACAAAGGAGAAAUUAUUCCAGCUGAGGCCAAAACAUGAACCAAGGCUGGGUCAUUGGCCUUAUCCCGCACUGAAGUUGAAACUUACACCAUCUGUUCACACCAUCAGUUCUUCUGGUUCUCAUGCUUUUGAACUUCGACUGGCACAAUUCCACUGGCUCUCCUUAGUCUCCAGGUUGCAGAUGGCAGAUCAUAAAUCUCCUUAGCCUCCACCUUUAUAAUCCUAACUAUUACUGGCACCUCUUUGAGGACAAAGGAAGUAGCUUUCUGCAAGCCAAAAAGACCUCAGAAAAACAACAAAUCUUCCAAACUCUUGAUUUUGACUUCUUGCCUCCAG